CAGCAGCCGCGGUAAUACGGAGGAUCCGAGCGUUAUCCGGAUUUAUUGGGUUUAAAGGGAGCGUAGGUGGACUGGUAAGUCAGUUGUGAAAGUUUGCGGCUCAACCGUAAAAUUGCAGUUGAUACUGGAUAUCUUGAGUGCAGUUGAGGCAGGCGGAAUUCGUGGUGUAGCGGUGAAAUGCUUAGAUAUCACGAAGAACUCCGAUUGCGAAGGCAGCCUGCUAAGCUGCAACUGACAUUGAGGCUCGAAAGUGUGGGUAUCAAACAGGAUUAGAUACCCUGGUAGUCCACACGGUAAACGAUGAAUACUCGCUGUUUGCGAUAUACAGCAAGCGGCCAAGCGAAAGCGUUAAGUAUUCCACCUGGGGAGU
rnacentral:rRNA from 1 species